rnacentral:rRNA from 1 species
AGCGGCCAUGGCAGGGGGGGUACGCCCGGACCCGUUCCGAACCCGGAAGCUAAGCCCCCGAGCGCCGAUAGUACUGCGGGGCCAGCCCGUGGGAGGGCAGGGCGCCGCUG